rnacentral:rRNA from 1 species
UUAUUUUUUUCUUAUGAUUUUUGGUCUCUUUUAUUGUAGUAUCAUUAUUGUUUAGUAACUAUUAUUGAUAAAAUUUUUUUUUCUGUCUGUGAGGGUUUAUUGUAUUUUUUGAAGUUGGCUUAUUUGUUGUACCUUGUGUAUCAGGGCUUAUUAAUUUUUAAUAUUUAUUUUUUGUUUCCCGAAUUUAGGAGAGUUAUUUUGUUAUGUAGGUUUUUGUUUUAAAAAGAUCUUUAAUAUCAAAGUAGUAGUGAAAUGUUAAUCGUUCUUAGUGAUAUCUGGUUCCUUAGGAAAUUAAUUUAAUUUUAAAUUUAUCUUUUUAUUUCAAUUUUUUGAAAUUAAAUAUUUUAGUUUUAUCUUCAAGGGGGAUUAGCUCUUUCAAGUAAUUUUAUAACGGUUAUUUUUAUUAAUUUUUAUUGGUUUUUUAGUAACUAUUAUUGAUGAUUGUGUUAAAACUUUAUUUUUACUUUUUUUUAUUUUUAAUUGUUUAAUUUAUUUACUGAGGUUUUUUAUUUAACUUUUAAAUCUUACUAAUAAUGAUAAGAUUAGUAUACUAUGUUUUAUUUGUUGUUUUUUUAUUAUUAAUUGCUUUAAAGGAACUAGGCAAUAAAAUAAUUUUUGUCUGUUUAUCAAAAACAUUUCCUAUUGUUUUUAUUGUAGGUAUGGCCUGCCCACUGAGGUUAAACUUGAAUGGCCGCGGUAAUUUGACCGUGCGAAGGUAGCAUAAUCAUUAGUCUUUUAAUUGUUGACUUGUAUGAAUGGUUGAACAAGAAAUUUACUGUCUUUUUAGUAAGUGUUGAAUUUAAAUAUUAAGUGAGAAUGCUUAAUUAUUUUUAUGGGACGAGAAGACCCUAUAGAGUUUAAUAUCCCUUAUUAUUUGUUUGUUUGUAGUAUUUUAUAUUGUUGGGAAUAUUUUGUUGGGGUGAUUGGAAGAAUUAAUUAACUCUUUUUUUUUAUUAUUAUUUAUUUAUAAUUUUUUGAUCCUUUACUAUUGAUUAUAAGAUUAAAUUACCUUAGGGAUAACAGCGUAAUCCUUUCUUAGAGUUCUAAUUGAUGAAGGGGGUUGCGACCUCGAUGUUGGAUUAAGAUAACUUUAUGGUGUAGUCGCUAUAAUUUGUAGGUCUGUUCGACCUUUAAUUUCUUACAUGAUCUGAGUUCAAACCGGCGUGAGCCAGGUUGGUUUCUAUCUAUUUUCUUAAAUGGCUUAGUACGAAAGGACCAGUUAUUUUUAAUAAUUAUUUUGUUUUGGUAUUUUUAAAUUUUGAA